CGGGGCUGCUUAACAAAUGCAAGUCGAACGGGGUCCAUGCAGUGGCAACACUGCGGAAGACCGAGUGGCGAACGGGUGCGUAACACGUGAGGAACUUGCCCCGGUCUCUGGAAUAACAGUCGGAAACGACUGCUAAUACCGGAUGCCGUCGGAGGGCCGCAUGGCCCACUGACGAAAGGGUUACCGGAUCGGGAGAGCCUCGCGGCCUAUCAGCUUGUUGGUGAGGUAACGGCUCACCAAGGCAUCGACGGGUAGCUGGUCUGAGAGGAUGAUCAGCCACACUGGGACUGAGACACGGCCCAGACUCCUACGGGAGGCAGCAGUGGGGAAUCUUGCACAAUGGGCGAAGGCCUGAUGCAGCAACGCCGCGUGCGGGAAGAAGGCCUUAGGGUUGUAAACCGCUUUCAGCAGGAAAGAAACUGACGGUACCUGCAGAAGAAGGUGCGGCCAACUACGUGCCAGCAGCCGCGGUAAUAAUCU
rnacentral:rRNA from 1 species